GAAAUUGAUGCUUGGUUGGGAUGUUUAUUUUGUAAGUGAAAAAUCAUUAUAUGCAUAGUUCAGUUGUGAAACAAUACAUAAGGAAAAUGCUUGCGUACAUUUAGAAUAAUUAGAAGACAGAAAUGUUGAAAAAUAGUUUAGGUUCGGUAACUUCCGGAAGACAGCAAGAGAUUAUUUUGAACAAAUAAAAGCUUUCUUUUCAUUGUGCCCUGUUUUGUUAAUAUCUUAUAAAACAUUCUUAAAUACCACAAAUAUAACACCUAUGGGACCAACAACAGUGACAAAACGUUAGGUUCAGGUUAUGAAACACAGUACAAGUCAUGUCAUUAAUGACUUCCCACUUGUUCCCAUUUUGACAAAGGUGUAAAAAUAGAUGAAGGGUUAGGUCUACUCAGUUACAAAAAUAAUGAUACAGUGGUACAGAUCUGACCCCUAGCUAGUCCCCUUUAUAUAUAAAACGUGUGAAUUCGCCAAAAGGUCUGGGAGGACUUCAAAGGUAUAAAACCAGUUUGUCACUAUCUGCUUUAAACACAAGGAUAGACGGUUCAAACUCAAUUCCUGGUAAACAAUAUUAGCCUUCAAGAAAGACGCUUGUUCUGAAUUUGGUCCCUUUUGGAAAAAACAAGAAAUUGUCCCAGAAUAAAAAAAGUUGUACAUAUUUAAGUGUCACCUUAUUUUUCUAUCCCAGUGUAAGGUCUGUCUUAGGGAAGGCCCAGUGUAAGGUCUGUCUUAGGGAAGGCCCAGUGUAAGGUCUGUCUUAGGGAAUGCCCAGUGUAAGGUAUGUCUAGAGAAGGCCCAGUGUAAGGUCUGUCUAGAGAAGGCCCAGUGUAAGGUAUGUCUAGAGAAGGCCCAGUGUAAGGUCUGUCUAGAGAAGGCCCAGUGUAAGGUAUGUCUAGAGAAGGCCCAGUGUAAGGUAUGUCUAGAGAAGGCCCAGUGUAAGGUAUGUCUAGAGAAGGCCCAGUGUAAGGUAUGUCUAGAGAAGGCCCAGUGUAAGGUAUGUCUAGAGAAGGCCCAGUGUAAGGUAUGUCUAGAGAAGGCCCAGUGUAAGGUAUGUCUAGAGAAGGCCCAGUGUAAGGUAUGUCUAGAGAAGGCCCAGUGUAAGGUCUGUCUAGAGAAGGCCCAGUGUAAGGUAUGUCUAGAGAAGGCCCAGUGUAAGGUCUGUCUAGAGAAGGCCCAGUGUAAGGUCUGUCU